UACGUAGGGUGCAAGCGUUAAUCGGAAUUACUGGGCGUAAAGCGUGCGCAGGCGGUGAUGUAAGACAGGUGUGAAAUCCCCGGGCUUAACCUGGGAACUGCAUUUGUGACUGCAUCGCUGGAGUGCGGCAGAGGGGGAUGGAAUUCCGCGUGUAGCAGUGAAAUGCGUAGAUAUGCGGAGGAACACCGAUGGCGAAGGCAAUCCCUGGGCCUGCACUGACGCUCAUGCACGAAGCGUGGGAGCAAACAGG
rnacentral:rRNA from 1 species